UUAUAUAACCUCUUUCUAGAAUUACCUCAAAUGAAAAGUUACCUCGCCAUUAUUGCUCAAAAGACUGGAAGGAGUCCUGUGGAGGAUUUAGAUUCCUCCUCUUUUGAGAAGUGCAACCGAUUGAAGUUAUAAAGGGCUCUGGGGUGUUUUGCCAGGCAGAAGUGUGGAAAGCAGCCCUCCAUGCCACCUCUGCUACUGCCAUGGUGUGGAAUCUGCUGCUGGGCACAUUUGAUCUGGAGACUUUGCUGAAAAACAACCUGAAUGGUGGGAAGCCAACCAGAGGGGUUGGGGAGCAGCUGGUCGCCCUUGACCAAAUUAAAAAGGCAUUAUUAUUGAUGCUACAUUGAAGAAGUGGCCGUCAGCCAGCCGAGGGGAGAUGGGCACGUCUAUCAAUUCAAAGCUCAUGGAGC